rnacentral:rRNA from 1 species
AGCGAACGCUGGCGGCAGGCUUAACACAUGCAAGUCGAACGGGCGUAGCAAUACGUCAGUGGCAGACGGGUGAGUAACACGUGGGAACGUACCUUUUGGUUCGGAACAACUGAGGGAAACUUCAGCUAAUACCGGAUAAGCCCUUACGGGGAAAGAUUUAUCGCCGAAAGAUCGGCCCGCGUCUGAUUAGCUAGUUGGUGGGGUAAGAGCCCACCAAGGCGACGAUCAGUAGCUGGUCUGAGAGGAUGAUCAGCCACAUUGGGACUGAGACACGGCCCAAACUCCUACGGGAGGCAGCAGUGGGGAAUAUUGGACAAUGGGCGAAAGCCUGAUCCAGCCAUGCCGCGUGAGUGAUGAAGGCCCUAGGGUUGUAAAGCUCUUUAACGGGGUAAGAUAAUGACGGUACCCGUAGAAUAAGCCCGGCUAACUUCGUGCCAGCAGCCGCGGUAAU